GCCUCAAAAUUGUAGGAAUUAGGGGCAAAAAAGGGGGCAAAAAACAAGCAUUUUUCUAGUUUCAUGACAAUAACUUGUGUGUAAGUCUAUGGAUCUUUCUGAAAUUGUACUACAAGGUUUCAUAUCACAAAGGGAAAGCUGGGAUUGAGUUUGGGGGUAAUUGCUCAAAACGUUUAGGAAUAAGGGGCAAAAAAGGGGCAAAAAAUAAGCAUUUUCUAGUUUCCAGACAAUGACUUGUGUUCAAGUGUAUUGAUCUCUCUGAAAUUGUACUGCAAGGUUCCAUAUCUCAAAGGAAAUGCUUGGAUUGAUUUUGGGGGUAAUUGCCUCAAAAUUUUAGGAAUUAGGGACAAAAGAAGGGGCAAAAAACAAGCAUUUUUCUAGUUUCAUGACAAUAACAUGUGUGUAAGUCUAUGGAUCUUUCUGAAAUUGUACUACAAGGUUUCAUAUCACAAAGGGAAAGCUGGAAUUGAGUUUGGGGGUAAUUGCCCAAAACGUUUAGGUAUAAGGGGCCAAAAAGGGGCAAAAAAUAAGCAUUUUUAUACGACCGCAAAAAAAUUGUUGUGGUCGUAUAUUGGUAUGACGUUGGCGUCGUCGUCGUCGUCGUCGUCCGAAGACACAUUAGUUUUCGCACUCUAACUUUAGUUUAAGUGAAUAGAUCUCUAUGAAAUUUUACCAUAAGGUUAAAUACCACAAAAGGAAGGUUGGGAUUGAUUUUGGGGGUUAUGGUACCAACAGUAAAGGAAUUAGGGGCCAAAAAGGGGCCAAAAAUAAGCAUUUUUGUAACUUCCAGACAAUAACUUGUGUGUAAGUGUAUGGAUCUCUCUGACAUUGUACCACAAGGUUCCAUAUCUCAAAGGGAAGGCUGGAAUUGAUUUUGGGGAUAAUUGCCUCAAAAUUUUAGGAAUUAGGGGCCAAAAAAGGGGCAAAAAACAAGCAUUUUUCUAGUAUCAUGACAAUAACUUGUGUGUAAGUGUUUGGAUAUUUCUGAAAUUGUUCUACAAGGUUCCAUAUCACAAAGGGAAAGCUGGAAUUGAGUUUGGGGGUAAUUGCCCAAAACGUUUA